AACGAACGCUGGCGGCAUGCCUAACACAUGCAAGUCGAACGAGACCUUCGGGUCUAGUGGCGCACGGGUGCGUAACGCGUGGGAACCUGCCCUUUGGCUCGGCCUAACUCCCCGAAUGGGUUCCUAAUACCGGAUAUUGUCCUCGGACCAAAGGUGUACCGCCUUUGGAUGGGUCCGCGUUGGCUUCGCUAGUUGGUAGGGUAACGGCUUAUCAAGGUGACGAUCCAUGGCUGGUUGGGGAAGAUGAUAAGCCAGAAUUGGACUGAGGCACGGCCCAGACUCCGACGGAACAGAGGAGAAGAUAGUACAGUACGAUGAGGGAUGACCUAAUCCAGCAACGCCGGGUGAGUGAGGAAGGGCUUUGUGUUGUAAAGCUCUCUUACCCGAGAUGAGAAUGACAGUACCGGGAGAAGAAGCUCCGGCUAACUCCGUG
rnacentral:rRNA from 1 species